GACGAACGCUGGCGGCGUGCUUAACACAUGCAAGUCGAACGGAAAGGCCCUGCUUGCAGGGUACUCGAGUGGCGAACGGGUGAGUAACACGUGGGUGAUCUGCCCUGCACUUCGGGAUAAGCCUGGGAAACUGGGUCUAAUACAGGAUAGGAGCCAUUUUUAGUGUGAUGGUUGGAAAGUUUUUUCGGUGUAGGAUGAGCGCGCGGCCUAGCAGCUUGUUGGUGGGGUAAUGGCCUACCAAGGCGGCGACGGGUAGCCGGCCUGAGAGGGUGGACGGCCACAUUGGGACUGAGAUACGGCCCAGACGCCUACGGGAGGCAGCAGUGGGGAAUAUUGCACAAUGGGCGCAAGCCUGAUGCAGCGACGCCGCGUGGGGGAUGACGGCCUUCGGGUUGUAAACGCCUUUCGCUAGGGACGAAGCUUUUUGUGACGGUACCUAGAUAAGAAGCACCGGCUAACUACGUG
rnacentral:rRNA from 1 species